rnacentral:rRNA from 1 species
UUAUUUUUUAGCUGUAAUUUUAAUUUUAUUAUUAAUAGUUAAGUUCUUUAAAUUAAAUAGGUUUGGCGGUAAUUUAGUCUUUUCAGAGGAACCUGUUCUUUAAUUGAUAAUCCACGUUGAAUUUUUCCUUUAUUUUGGUUUGUAUAUCUCUGUCAUUGAAUGUCUUAUUAGGGUUUACUUUCUUAAAUUUUAAUUUAAUUUAAUGUCAAGUCAAGGUGCAGCUAUAUUAAGGUUUGAAAUGGGUUAUAUUUAAUGUUAUUUAUAGGAUUAUUUAUUUGUAAUUAAUUUUAUUAAAAAAGAUUUGAUAGUAAAUUUAUUUUUAUUUAUAUAUUUUGAUUACAGCUCUAUAUUAUGUACAUAUCGCCCGUCGCUCUCGCCUAUAUUUAAAGUGGGAUAAGUCGUAACAAAGUAAUUUUACUGGAAUGUGUAAUUGGAAGUUAUCAAGUUAUCUAUAGUAGUAUUAUUAUUUACAAUAAUAUAAUUGGUUGUGCAAUUCACCUUAACUUGAUUAGUAAACUUCUUAUUUUUUAUUUAUUAUCUAUUUUAUGUAUUUUAAUUAUAAUUUUUAUUUAGUAUUUUUAUAGAAUUUUUUAUUUUAAUUAUAGUUUAUUGUACUGUGAAGGUUAUUUUAUUAUUAUUUAAAAGCUUAUUUUUUUGUAGUACCUUUUGUAUCAGGGUUUAUUAAUAAAUUUUUAUUUAUUUAUAAUAUUUCUCGAAGUUAAACGUUUUAAUUUUAUUUGGAAGUUACUGUUGUAAAAUUAUUUUUAAAUUAAAAUUAGUUAUUAUAUGUUAUUCAAGUUUAAAUAUCUAGUUUUUUAAUAAUUAAAUUUAAUUUAGGAUUAUUUAUGUUAUUUUUUAUUUUAAUUAUUUAUUAAUUAAAUAAUCUUAUUUUAAGGGGGAUAAGCUCUUUAAUUUUUUAUAUUAAUUUUAUUAUUAAUUUUUGUAGGCUUGAUAACAGCCAUCUUUAAUUUCGUUUUAGUUUAUUUUAUUCUUAUUUUUUAUUUAUUAUCUGAUUAAUUUUUUAUUAAAAUAAUUAAUUUAAUUUUAAUUUUAUUGUAAUAAUGAUUUAAUUAGUAGUUUUGUAAAUUAAUUUAUAGUAAUUCGGCAUUUUAAAUUUCCGCCUGUUUAACAAAAACAUGUCUUAUUGUAUUUUAUUUUAAGUCUAUUCUGCUCAGUGAUUUUAUUAAAUAGCUGCAGUAUAUUACCUGUACAAAGGUAGCAUAAUAAUUUGUCUUUUUAUUGGGGGCUUGUAUGAAUGAUUGGACGAGAUAUUAACUUUCUUUAUAUUAAUUUAUGAAUUUGAUUUUUUAGUGAAAAUGCUAGGAUUUUUUUAUGGGACGAGAAGACCCUAUAGCCAUUUUAUUGUUAAUGAAUUUUUUGUUUUAUUUUUUAACAACUUCUUAUUUUUUAUUCUUUUUGAUUGGGGUGAUUGUGAAAUUUUUUAAACUUUUAUUUAUUAUUAUUCAAUAAUUUUUGUUUUUUUGAUCCUGUAUUAUGGAUUAUAAGAUAAAAUUACCUUAGGGAUAACAGCGUAAUUUUUUUAGAGAGUUCUUAUCGAUAAUAUAAGU